rnacentral:rRNA from 1 species
UACGAAGGGUGCAAGCGUUAAUCGGAAUUACUGGGCGUAAAGGGUGCGUAGGCGGUUCGUUAAGUCUGUCGUGAAAUCCCCGGGCUCAACCUGGGAAUGGCGAUGGAUACUGGCGAGCUAGAGUGUGUCAGAGGAUGGUGGAAUUCCCGGUGUAGCGGUGAAAUGCGUAGAUAUCUGGAGGAACACCGGUGGCGAAGGCGGCGAUCCUGGACCGGCAUUGGACGCUGAGGCGCGAAAGCCCAGGGGAGGCA